rfam:Cucumis sativus cultivar 9930 chromosome 1, whole genome shotgun sequence.
GUCCCUUUGGGGACAUCCUAUAAAACUGGAACGAUAUAGAGAAGAUUAGCAUGGGCCCUGUGCAAGGAUGACACGUACAAAUCAAGAAAUGGUUCCGAAAUUU